UCCUCGAUAGCUCAGCGGUAGAGCAGGUGACUGUUAAUCACUUGGUCGCAGGUUCGAAUCCUGCUCGAGGAGCCA
rnacentral:tRNA from 1 species